UACGGAGGGUGCAAACGUUGCUCGGAAUCAUUGGGCGUAAAGCGCACGUAGGCGGCGAAGCAAGUUGGGUGUGAAAGCCCUGGGCUCAACCCAGGAAGUGCAUUCAAAACUGCUUCGCUUGAAUCUCGGAGGGGGUCAGAGAAUUCCCGGUGUAGAGGUGAAAUUCGUAGAUAUGCGGAGGAACACCAGUGGCGAAGGCGGCUAACUGGACCAUUCUUGACGCUGAGGGACGAAAGCGUGGGGAGCAAACAGG
rnacentral:rRNA from 1 species